rnacentral:rRNA from 1 species
UACGUAGGGUGCAAGCGUUAAUCGGAAUUACUGGGGCGUAAAGCGUGCGCAGGCGGUUUUGUAAGUCUGUCGUGAAAUCCCCCGGGCUCAACCUGGGAAUUGCGAUGGAGACUGCAAGGCUAGAAUCUGGCAGAGGGGGGUAGAAUUCCGACGUGUAGCAGUGAAAUGCGUAGAGAUGUGGAGGAACACCGAUGGCGAAGGCAGCCCCCUGGGUCAAGAUUGACGCUCAUGCACGAAAGCGUGGGGAGCAACAGGA